rnacentral:rRNA from 1 species
UACGAAGGGGACUAGCGUUGUUCGGAAUUACUGGGCGUAAAGCGCACGUAGGCGGAUUUGUAAGUCAGGGGUGAAAUCCCGGGGCUCAACCUCGGAACUGCCUUUGAUACUGCAAGUCUCGAGUCCGAUAGAGGUGGGUGGAAUUCCUAGUGUAGAGGUGAAAUUCGUAGAUAUUAGGAAGAACACCGGUGGCGAAGGCGGCCCACUGGAUCGGUACUGAUGCUGAGGUGCGAAAGCGUGGGGAGCAACAGG